GGGCUGCAGUAUUUUGACUGUACAAAGGUAGCAUAAUCAAUAGUCUCUUAAUUGGUGACUUGUAUGAAAGAUUGGAUGAGAUAUAUACUGUCUCUUGUUAAUUUAUAGAAAUUAAUUUUUUAGUAAAAAAGCUAAAAUAAUUUUAAAAGACGAGAAGACCCUAUAGAGUUUAAUAAUUUAUUUAAUUAUUAUUAAUAUAUAAUUUUUAAAAUUAAAAUUAAAUAAAUUAUUUUGUUGGGGUGAUAGAAAAAUUAAAUUAACUUUUUUUAAUUAUUUACAUUAAUUUAUGGUUAAAUGAUCCAUUUAUAAUGAUUAAAAGAAAAAAUUACCUUAGGGAUAACAGCGUAAUUUUUUUUUUUAGUUCAAAUAGGAAGAAAAGUUUGCGACCUCGAUGUUGGAUUAA
rnacentral:rRNA from 2 species